GUCCAGGGAGGGUGGAGGACAGCGAGACCCCAACCAAGCUGCGGCGAUUUGUGGGGUUUACGGUGGUUAUGGUGUUAUGGUGCAGUGCCAAUGGUACUCGCAAGUACUAGGAAGCAGCGAUUGACGGAGGUACCCGGUCAGGGUGCAAGGCGGUCAGUCACAGCUUAUGACCUCCCAGAGGUAACUUGUACAUCACAUAUCG